rnacentral:lncRNA from 1 species
GCUUUGACAGAUAGACCUCACAAGAAAAUAUUAAUACACCAUACAGAAUCGUUGAGCUGGAUUUUCUUCUACUUUUUAUCUCGAAACUCCACCAAAGUACAGAGCAUAUAGUGAAAGAUACAAGAAAAGACUCAAAUGUCUCAUUUGAAUUCUGAAUUUCUUAUUCAAAUGAUUCAAGCUGGUAAACUGGUGUCAGCUUCCAUUCUGCUUUUCUUUUAAAAGUUCUGUACUUAAUAAACCUUCCCCCAUGAGCCAACAAUUAAAACUCACAACCCCCGGUAUGUAUGACGUUAAAAGAAAGUUUCAGCAUUUCCAUUUCAUCAAAGCUUCAUAACUCAAACCUAUAGUUGGGAUGGAUGUUCAAAAACCGCUGAAAUAGACUGAACUGCCCAAACCGUACUAAAUCAACCGGUUAGAAGUGAUAUGCUUCGGUUUAGGGUUUACGGUUUGGAACCAGCCAGGUAAACCAAACCGGCCGAAAUAUUAAUAAAAAUACUUUUAAGCUACGACUCCCUACUGAAAAAAAAAAACUGCCCAAACUGUCAUAAUCAUGGGUGUAGCUUAAAAGGGGCCGGGAGGGGCGCCCGACCCCCCGAACUUUUUGCUUAGGGGGUGCCAAACACCCCCUUAGUAGUUUUAUAUAAGUAGCUUUCGUAUAGAAAUUUUUGGGUAUAUACGUUUUCGACCCCACGGUUCUAUAUAAAUUUUUGGGUAUGUACGUUUUCGCCCCCCCCCCCCCCCCCCGCGUCGGAAUUCUCAAGCUUCGCCACUGGUCAAAAUAAAACCAGUUUGGCCAGUCCAGCAGACCCAGCCAGGAAAACCAACUGAACCAGACAGUAAACAUCCAUUGCCUAUGAUAAAACUCUUCAAUAACACGUUAAUUACAACUAGGCUAGCUUCAAUUCCCCUCCCCUGUUUCUCUAGAACAAACACGUACUAAUCAAAACAUGCCUAUCCACAAUAUAUAUAUAAAGGACUCAAUUCCACAAUAACCUAUUCAAACAAACUCAAUUUCUUUUAAGAUUUUCCCCAAAUUCUAUAUCAACAAAAACCCUAACACGCAUAGUUGAAGAAGAGAUGUGGUUUUAGUUUAAUUGCUUACAGUAAGUUGAAAGAGUUCAUGCGGGCAAAGGCCGACCAAGAAGAGACGACAGACGUCACGAUCGUAGUACUUCCGAUUGACUUCGGUAACAUCUCCGUUCCGAUUGGCUCCCAUCAACAUUAUUAA